rnacentral:lncRNA from 1 species
CUGAAAUCGCAGUUGGAAGCAGGAUUUCUCGCCCCUGCAGCCCAUCCCCCAUACCCGGUUUUCUGCAAGAAGCGGGCUCCGGAGCUCAGAGCCCGAAGUGUAUGCCCUGGUCUUUGAUGAUGUUGAUAAAAUGAGGUUUCAAAUGUUGUCCCGAAGAGGCCGGUAUGUGGAAUGGAAGGACCGUGCCGGGGCACCAAGAGGCACCCUGAGAACUCAGAGGACCCAGAGGCUCCCCUCAAGCAAAUUCCCUGCUGACCCUGGAAACCCCUUGAAGGAGGGGACAAGAGGUUGCCACAAGGCUCAUCUUAUAACUCCCAGCAAGGACUCUCAGCAAACAAGUUCAGCUUGGGAUCUGCCCACCACCAAGCCUGGCUGGGAGGUGGGGGGGAGCGGGGGGCGGUGGAGAGGCAGAGUCCCUGAACAGGGAAAAGACAAUCAGUUGUUCCCCUUUCUGGUGUCAGAGGCAAAGAAGCCUGAAGGGCUGGUGGUGGUGCUGGCUCUGGGUUUAUUGACUCUGUGAUCCUGUCCAGCUGUCCUACAGGGAGUUCCAGAGCUCUCCCAAAGUGCAUGAGGAAGUGCACAAGUAGGACUGGGGCACAAUACCAGAAGCUAUUUGUCUCCUAGAACCUGGCACCCCCUCCACUUACCUUGCAGGAGACCCACAUCACUCAGUUCCCAGGACACCUGGUGGGAGAGUCUGGUGAGAUUCCGAGGCAGACUUCCUCUACUCACAACCUGUUUGAAAAUGGACAUAAAGAGGAGAACAGACACUCCAUCGCCCCUUCAGGGCCUCCUUCGUGUCACAAAACCUAUCCCCUCCUAGGGCACCCUUGACAUUCCCCUAGGUGGGCCUACACAUUGUUCAGAACCUGUCCCC